ensembl:lncRNA
AAAGAAGCGACGCACGAAGGGUGAGCAGGAGAAAAAGGAACGCGUGCGAGCCCGCACGUGUGUGGAACGAACUGCUGCCUGACUGUGGGGCGCCCCGAGUCGUUCGGCGAUCCAGUCCUAACGGCAGGAACGGCAACAGUGGGUGGCGAUGGCCGCAAUGCACAACAGGGCAGGGAUGCCCUUCUGCCUGCAUCUGACGACGUGGUGGUGAAGAUUUAGGUCCACCAGUCUUAGCGGCUACAAGUACACCUCUCUGAACAGUGUCUGGGAGGCUGUGGUUGCUGCUGCACGCAAUGUUGAUGGUGAACAGAUCAAAACACUGACAGAAUCCAUGGAUGGCAGGCUUUUGAGUGUCCUUGCAAAGAAAGUUCUCCACAGUCGCUGUCCACAUGGGUCAGUGGGACAAAGAAGCGCUCUGCUAAUGUGUGGACUCUGACCAGCAACAUCCAGCAAGACCCAGACAGCGUUUUCUAUCUCCCAGCUGGAGUUUUUUGUUUGUCUGUGACUGGAGAGUCAGAUUUUUGUUGAGCUUCACACUUGCAGAGGUAAGUCAGUUUGUAGAGAUCCCUCCCACCCUGGCUUUUAUGUCCUAGAUUUCUUAUCGGAAACAGUAAUAUUUCAGUGACUGCUGCUUAUAGCACAGGUUAAUACACGCUACUGAUCCCUGAUAGGAGAAUCAUCAGUUUUGGCAACAAAGAAGCCUGGUGGAUGGUUUUUUUUUUUUUUUUUUUUACAGUCUGAUGAUGGGACAUCGUGCUCUGCAUCUUCAAAGUUUGCCUCCUCGUUAUUAUUCAUACCCAGUAAUGUGAAGUAUGCUUAUAUCUACCGUAGCUGCCUCCACCAGUGUGUGAAUGUGAGAGUGAAUGAAUAGUGGCAUUGUAAAGCGCUUUGGGUGCCUUGAAAAGCGCUAUAUAAAUCCAAUCCAUUAUUAUCUACUAUAACUGAACCAACCUGGUGCUCUUCAUUUAUGGAGGCUGUUGAGUCUGAAUGUUGGAUAUUGUGUAUCUCGUGUUCUCUGGGCUUUGUUGUCCUCAGUUUUUUUGCAGGAUCAGAAAACAAAACCAGGAGGCGUGUAAAUGUUUCUUCUCCAUGAUGUUUCUUCAAAUGUUUCUUCUGGAUGAUGAUAAGACUGUGACACGGGAUGCCACCUUUGGUCACCUUUGAUGAAGCAAAGCUCAGGAAGAAGUCUGAUUAAAUGGUACCCACAUGUUGAGGGAUGUACAGGGGCACCUGCAGCCAAAUCCAAGCUUCAGUGGAUAAACUGAAUUCCAACGACAGAAGACUCCUGUAUAUCCUUCUGGCCGCAAGAAAAAAGCCUCUUACGAGAAGAUAGCUUAAGCCUGAACCACCAACGAUAGAAGACUGGAUACAUUCUGUACAAGAGAUCUAUACGAUGGAAAAAGUGUCAUUUUCUCUUAAACUUCAGAGGGAUACCUUCUAUGGAAUAUGGUCUAAAUGGACAGACUAUGUUAAGCAUAUGAGGUGUGAUUUUUGUAUAUGAUGUUACAACCCUGAGUACUACGUAAACCUACCUGCCCUGCUGCCUCCUAACCCUAGUUUGGUGUUUUUUGUUUUUGUUUUUUUUUGUUUUUUUGUUUUUUUUGUUUGUUUUUUUUUCUUUUCUUUUUCUGUCUUUAUUUUUCAAUUAUAAGUUAAAAUGUGACAGCAAAGAAAGUGUAAAAAGGCAUACUAUUAUGUUCAACAGCUGUCCCAAUAAAAGAGAUAAUAAUAAUAAAAAAGAAAAUACCAUAUUGUAUUCAUACAGAAACAGUAUGGUAACAUUGUUUGUCUGCUCACUGAUUGCUGAAACUAAGAGCUACUUUGAUCUGUUUAGAUCUAAAGUAGCCAAAGUUGAAUGUUUCUUCACCCCUGUGUGUGUGAUAUCUGAUUUCCUACAUGCUGGCAGAGCAGCAGUUUGUGCUCACAGAUGGUGACAGUGUGGAGAGACGGUGGUGUUUCCUCAGAAGAACCAGCAGAGUCACAAAGGACACCAGUCCAUCUCACCACCUUGACUUGCUGACUGAUGUUCGUCUGCACUGCACAGAGGAAAUCAACUGACCGAGAUGGGCAGGAUAUCAGUCUUGGACUGUCUAACCUGCCGGAACAGCACUGAAUGAUCACCACACAUGAGCAUGUUCCUGCAACAUGCAGCAUCUGAUCCUUCAUCUGUGUGCUUCUGCUUUUGUGUCACAUGUCAAACAGCUGGAGAGGAAACUACACCAGUGUACUGGGAUGUUUCAGCAACACGUGCCAGAUGCUGUUCCUUCAUGGUGACAUCACCAGAGACAGCCCCACCCACCUCAGGACCUCGCCAUUGAUCAUGAUGAUUAUAAUGAUGACAGCGAGCGGAACUAAGACUGUAAAAAUCCACGACCAGAAUUUUUCUUUCUAAUUAUUAAUGAAUACUGAGAGCCUCUUUCUGUGUUUUGUCUGUUUUUUGUUUUGUUUUUAAAACCUCAUUUGUUACUAACAAAGUUCACCAAACUCACACAGUUUACAUUCUGUAUGUUUCCAUCUUUACCAGCCACACUCUAACUGCAUUUAAGAAAAUAAUCCUUAGAAAUCGUCGUUUUUCUCUUUUGCAAUUGAUGAUAAUUCAGUGAAUAAACUGCUGUUUGAAUUCUCUGUAUGUUUGACCCUGUAGACUGUUUGAUGGACUGCUUGUCUUCCUGUUUGUUACCGCCGCCUGUUUUUUGACUAAAGAUUUGGAUUUCUGACUUCAAC